rfam:Clostridium sp. CAG:269 genomic scaffold, scf149
GGCCCGUUGGUCAAGCGGCUAAGACGCCACCCUCUCAAGGUGGAAUCAUGAGUUCGAUUCUCGUACGGGUCA